rnacentral:rRNA from 1 species
ACAUCGCCUCUUGACCAAAUAUAAGAGGUCCAGCCUGCCCAGUGACUCUGUUCAACGGCCGCGGUAUCCUAACCGUGCGAAGGUAGCGUAAUCACUUGUUCUUUAAAUGAGGACUAGUAUGAACGGCACCACGAAGGUUACACUGUCUCCUUUUUUCAAUCAGUGAAAUUGAUCUCCCCGUGAAGAAGCGGGGAUUAUUAUAUAAGACGAGAAGACCCUAUGGAGCUUUAAACUAAAUAACACCUGCUUUUAAAUUUUUCUCCUCAAGAGCCCUUAAAAUUCAACUUAGCUUUAUGAUUAUUAGUUUUAGGUUGGGGUGACCGCGGAGCAAAAAUUAACCUCCAUAUUGAAUAGGAUUUUAUCCUUGAGCCAAGAGUAACAGCUCUACGCACAAAUAAACUGACAUUAAUUGACCCAAAUUAUUGAUCAACGAACCAAGUUACCCUAGGGAUAACAGCGCAAUCCUCCUCAAGAGCUCCUAUCGACAGGGGGGUUUACGACCUCGAUGUUGGAUCAGGGUAUCCCAGUGGUGCAGCCGCUACUAAAGGUUCGUUUGUUCAACGAUUAAAACCCUACGUGAUCU